rnacentral:rRNA from 1 species
UAGAGUUUGAUCAUGGCUCAGAUUGAACGCUGGCGGCGUGCUUAACACAUGCAAGUCGAUCGGUAACGCGGGGGCAACCCUGGCGACGAGAGGCGGACGGGUGAGGAACGCUUGGGAAUCUGCCCUUCAGCGGGGGACAACCCGGGGAAACCCGGGCUAAUACCGCAUACGCUCCACGGAGGAAAGCCGGGGACCUCAAGGCCUGGCACUGAAGGACGA